CAGAGGUCUCAACCGUUGUUCGGAUUCAUUGGGCGUAAAGGGUGCGUAGGCGGCGGAGUAAGUCAGGUGUGAAAUCUCGGGGCUCAACCCCGAAACUGCACUUGAUACUGCUUCGCUCGAGUACUGGAGAGGAGACUGGAAUUUACGGUGUAGCAGUGAAAUGCGUAGAUAUCGUAAGGAAGACCAGUAGCGAAGGCGAGUCUCUGGACAGUUACUGACGCUGAGGCACGAAGGCCAGGGGAGCAAACGGGAUUAGAUACCCCGGUAGUCCUGGCAGUAAACGGUGCACGUUUGGUGUGGGAGGAUUCGACCCCUUCCGUGCCGGAGCUAACGCGUUAAACGUGCCGCCUGGGAAGUACGGUCGCAAGACUA
rnacentral:rRNA from 1 species